rnacentral:rRNA from 1 species
AGCGAACGCUGGCGGCAGGCUUAACACAUGCAAGUCGAGCGGGCCUUUCGGGGUCAGCGGCGGACGGGUGAGUAACGCGUGGGAACGUGCCCUCUGGUUCGGAAUAACUCAGGGAAACUUGAGCUAAUACCGGAUACGCCCUUUUGGGGAAAGGCUUGCUGCCGGAGGAUCGGCCCGCGUCUGAUUAGCCAGUUGGUGAGGUAACGGCUCACCAAGGCGACGAUCAGUAGCUGGUCUGAGAGGAUGAUCAGCCACACUGGGAAUGAGACACGGCCCAGACUCCUACGGGAGGCAGCAGUGGGGAAUAUUGGACAAUGGGCGCAAGCCUGAUCCAGCCAUGCCGCGUGAGUGAUGAAGGCCUUAGGGUUGUAAAGCUCUUUUAUCCGGGACGAUAAUGACGGUACCGGAGGAAUAAGCCCCGGCUAACUUCGUG